AAUGAACGUUGGCGGCGUGGAUUGGGCAUGCAAGUCGAGCGCUCAUAGCAAUAUGGGAGCGGCGAACGGCGUAGUAAUAUGUAGGAACGUACCCUCGGGUCGGGAUAGCCAUGGGAAACUGUGGGUAAUACCCGAUAAUCUCUGCGGAGCAAAGGUGUGAUUCCGCCUGAGGAGCGGCCUACACGAUAUUAGCUAGUUGGUAGGGUAAUGGCCUACCAAGGCUACGAUGUCUAGGGGGGUGUGAGAGCAUCGGCCCCACGACGGACUGAGACUACUCGCCACGACUACCGUACGGGUGGCUGAC
rnacentral:rRNA from 1 species